UCAUGUACAAAAAGUGCUGUCAUUUCUUAACAGUUCACCUGAUAAGGAUGAAUACCCUCAAAUUAAAGCAGACAGUCUGCACUUUAACCCGUUAGGUUCUGAACAGCGUAAAAACUCGCCACAGUGUCUCCUGACCCCUCCUGUCUCAGCCUCCAGUAUUUAUGCUGCAGUAGUUUAUGUGUUGGGGGGCUAGGGUCAGUUUGUUAUAUCUGGAGUACCUCUCCUGUCCUAUUCAGUGUCCUGUGUCUAAGUGUGCGUUCUCUAAUUCUCUCCUUCUCUCUUUCUUUCUCUCUCUCGGAGGACCUGAGCCCUAGGACCAUGCCCCAGGACUACCUGACAUGAUGACUCCAUGCUGUCCCCAGUCCACCUGGCCAUGCUGCUGCUCCAGUUUCAACUGUUCUGCCUUACUAUUAUUCAACCAUGCUGGACCUGAGCCCUUGGACCGUGCCCCAGGACUACCUGACAUGAUGACUCCUUGCUGUCCCCAGUCUACCUGACUGUGCUGCUGCUCCAGUUUCAACUGUUCUGGCUUAUUAUUAUUCGACCAUGCUGGUCAUUUAUGAACAUUUGAACAUCUUGGCCAUGUUCUGUUAUAAUCUCCACCCGGCACAGCCAGAAGAGGACUGGCCACCCCACAUAGCCUGGUUCCUCUCUAUGUUUCUUCCUAGGUUUUGGCCUUUCUAGGGAGUUUUUCCUAGCCACAGUGCUUCUACACCUGCAUUGCUUGCUGUUUGGGGUUUUAGGCUGGUUUUCUGUACAGCAUUUUUAGAUAUCAGCUAAUGUACGAAGGGCUAUAUAAAUAAAUUUGAUUUGAUUUGAAGUGA